rnacentral:sRNA from 1 species
GCAAAGGAUCGAUCGGGAUACUCAUCAAAUUACAUCAGAAAACCGAGAACGUUUCGCAUAUCAAUGGCGGGCCACGCCUUCGCAAGAAGGUAACCUCGAGUCGGUGGAUUACAAAGAUAUGUGGACCCUCAAAACUUAUCUACUCGGAGUUUCAUCACAUCUCCUCCCGGCUUU